UACGUAGGCAGCAAGCGUUGUUCGGAAUUACUGGGCGUAAAGAGUGUGUAGGCGGUUUUCUAAGUUCGGUGUGAAAUCUCCCGCUUAACUGGGAGGGUGCGCCGGAAACUGGAGGAUCUGGAGUGCCGGAGAGGAUAGCGGAAUUCCUGGUGUAGCGGUGGAAUGCGUAGAGAUCAGGAGGAACACCAAUGGCGAAGGCAGAUCUCUGGGCCGUAACUGACGCUGAGGAGCGAAAGCAUGGGGAGCGAACAGG
rnacentral:rRNA from 1 species